rnacentral:rRNA from 1 species
GAUGAACGCUGGCGGCGUGCCUAAUACAUGCAAGUAGAACGCUGAAGGAAGGAGCUUGCUCUUUCCGGAUGAGUUGCGAACGGGUGAGUAACGCGUAGGUAACCUGCCUGGUAGCGGGGGAUAACUAUUGGAAACGAUAGCUAAUACCGCAUAACAGUAGAUGUUGCAUGAUAUCUACUUAAAAGGUGCAAUUGCACCACUACCAGAUGGACCUGCGUUGUAUUAGCUAGUUGGUGAGGUAACGGCUCACCAAGGCGACGAUACAUAGCCGACCUGAGAGGGCGAUCGGCCACACUGGGACUGAGACACGGCCCAGACUCCUACGGGAGGCAGCAGUAGGGAAUCUUCGGCAAUGGACGGAAGUCUGACCGAGCAACGCCGCGUGAGUGAAGAAGGUUUUCGGAUCGUAAAGCUCUGUUGUAAGAGAAGAACGAGUGUGAGAGUGGAAAGUUCACACUGUGACGGUAUCUUACCAGAAAGGGACGGCUAACUACGUG